UACGUAGGGUGCAAGCGUUAAUCGGAAUUACUGGGCGUAAAGCGCACGUAGGUGGCUGGGUAAGUUGGAUGUGAAAUCCCCGGGCUUAACUUGGGAAUUGCAUUCAAGACUGCCUUGCUAGAGUGUGGAAGAGGGAAGCGGAAUUCCAGGUGUAGCGGUGAAAUGCGUAGAUAUCUGGAGGAACAUCAGUGGCGAAGGCGGCUUCCUGGUCCAACACUGACACUGAGGUGCGAAAGCGUGGGGAGCAAACAGG
rnacentral:rRNA from 1 species